UCUAAGGCGCCAGACUCAAGUUCUGGUGGAGAAAUCCGCGUGGGUUCGAACCCCACAGCUGACA
rnacentral:tRNA from 1 species